rnacentral:lncRNA from 1 species
GGAAGCCCCCAAGGAACUCGUCAUCCCUGUGAUCCAGAAUGGCCAUCGCAGGCAGCCACCAGCCCGGCCCCCUGGGCCAUCCACAGAUACUGGGGCCUUGGCGGAUGGGGUGCUGUCCCAGGCUGUGAAGGAGCUCAUUGCGGAGUAGUGAAGCCCCGUGUCAACUCACUGAGGCCCAAGGGGUUAGGGCUGGGUGCCAACCUGACCGAGGCCCAGGCCUUGACCCCCACUGGCCCCUCCCGCAUGCCAAGACCAGAUGAGGAGCAAGAGAGAGAUAAGGAAGAUCAGCCUCAAGGGCUGGUGCCUGGAGGAGCUGUGGUGGUUCUUUCUGGCCCUCACCGAGGCCUCUAUGGGAAG